AGCUGGGUAACUCAGUAGGAUAGAGUAAUAGUUUCCUAAACUUUUAGUCGCGGGUUCGAAUCCCGCCCCAGUUGCCC
rnacentral:tRNA from 2 species